rnacentral:lncRNA from 1 species
CUUUUAUUUUUGCAACCCAAUUCUCCUCUCUUUCUUAUUCUACAUCAAUUUUCUUAUUUUUUAUUGCACAACUUAUUUUUAAGUAAUAACUAUUAUAAAACCAAAAUUUAUAUUCAAUGCAUACAAUUUAUACUAUAUAAAAAGGUUAUGUAAACAAUAUAAAUUUUUAUAAUGAGAUUUUAGAAAUGUAAUGUAUAAAAUUUAUUUUUAUACUCGAUAUAUGAAAUAUUUAUCCUCCACCAUUCUAUCAUUUUCUUCUUACUAUAAAAAAUUAUUGUCUGCACUCGAUAUAUUGGUGCAUUGCAUGCACUAAAAUUACAUGCACUAAAAUUAUUUUUUAAUGAUUAAUAUUACAAAAUUAAAAUUUAAACUUGAGUCUCGAACAAGUAGGGAUAGAACUUCCGCAUCACCGUCUCCGAUUCCCACGUCACCUCACGCUUCUCGUGAUGACUCCAUUGUACUUUUACAUAAGGUAUGACCAGGUUGCGUAAUUCAUUUGUCUCAUAAGCAAGAAUUCGCACUGGUCGCUUCUCAUAUCUCAAGUCCUCGCCAAGCUCCAGCGGAGUGAAAUCAAUCACGUGUGAGGGAUCGAACAUGUAUCUUCUCAAUGCCGAGUCGUGAAAAACAUCAUGAAUACUGGCCAGUCGUGGGGGUAGAGCAAUCCUGUAGGCUACUGGUCCAAUUCGCUUCAAUACCUCAAAAGGGCCUACAAACCGUGGACUGAGCUUUCCACGUACUCCGAAUCUGCGUAUCCCUCGGAAGGGCGAAACUUCCAAAAACACAUGGUCUCCAACCUGAAACUCUAUAUCUCGUCUUCUGGUAUCGGCAUAGCCCCUCUGUCGACUCUGGGCUGUCAAAAUAUACGUACAAUCUUAACCUUUUCCUCUGCUUCUAUCAGAAUCUCAGGUUCCAGAGUUCUCCUCUCACCCACAUCACUCCAAUACAAAGGGGAUCGACACCUGCGUCCAUGCAACGCCUCAAACAGAGCCAUUU